rnacentral:rRNA from 1 species
AUGGGGCUUCUUGACCAGCUGUGGGACGACACGGUGGCCGGGCCGCGGCCGGACCACGGCCUCGGCAGGCUCCGCAAGUACGCCUCCUUCUCCCCGUCCUCCUCGGCGGCCGGCACGACCGCUGCCGUGCCGUCGGCCGACGUGGCGGCGCCGGCGGUGACGCGGAGCAUCACCAUCCUCCGCCCGCCGGCUCUGUCCGUGACGUCGCCGCGCGGCGAGUCCGGCUCCGGCUCCGCGCCCUCGUCCCCGGCCAGCGUCCCCGACUCCCCCUUCAGCACAGCAACGACACCCAGGGGAGAGAGUGGUUGGAGUAAGCUGCGCCGCAAAGGCAGGAUGGCCGCCGACGGCAUGGAGGCCAGCCCCGGCACCCCCAGGGUGGUGAUCAGUUCGCUCGACCGCUAA